CAAUAAGCGGAGGAAAAGAAACCAACAGGGAUUGCCCCAGUAACGGCGAGUGAAGCGGCAACAGCUCAGAUUUGGAAUCUGGCCCCCCCCGGGGGGUCCGAGUUGUAAUCUGGAGAGGAUGCUUCUGGCGCGGCGCCCGGCGAGUUCCCUGGAACGGGACGCCAGAGAGGGUGAGAGCCCCGUACGGCGGGACGCCGCGCCUCUGUGAAGCUCCUUCAACGAGUCGAGUAGUUUGGGAAUGCUGCUCCAAACGGGAGGUAAAUUUCUCCUAAAGCUAAAUACCGGCCGGAGACCGAUAGCGCACAAGUAGAGUGAUCGAAAGAUGAAAAGCACUUUGAAAAGAGGGUCAAACAGUACGUGAAAUUGUUGAAAGGGAAGCGCCCGUGGCCAGACUCGCGCCCCGCGGACCACCCGGCGGACUCCGCCGGGGCACGCCGCGGGGCGCGGGCCAGCAUCGGCCCCCGCAGGGGGACAAGGGCGGCGGGAACGUGGCUCCUCUGGGAGUGUUACAGCCCGCCGCGCCAUGCCCCUGGGGGGGCCGAGG
rnacentral:rRNA from 1 species